rnacentral:rRNA from 1 species
GAACUGAAGAGUUUGAUCAUGGCUCAGAUUGAACGCUGGCGGCAGGCCUAACACAUGCAAGUCGAGCGGAUGAGAGGAGCUUGCUCCUGGAUUCAGCGGCGGACGGGUGAGUAAUGCCUAGGAAUCUGCCUGGUAGUGGGGGACAACGUUUCGAAAGGAACGCUAAUAC